UACGAAGGGAGCUAGCGUUGUUCGGAAUCACUGGGCGUAAAGCGCACGUAGGCGGAUGUGUCAGUCAGGGGUGAAAUCCCGGAGCUCAACUUCGGAACUGCCUUUGAUACAGCACAUCUGGAGUCCGGAAGAGGUGGGUGGAAUUCCUGGUGUAGAGGUGAAAUUCGUAGAUAUCAGGAGGAACACCGGUGGCGAAAGCGGCUCUCUGGCCCGAUACUGACGCUCAUGUACGAAAGCGUGGGGAGCAAACAGG
rnacentral:rRNA from 1 species